rnacentral:lncRNA from 1 species
UACCAGUACUGUAUAUUAGAAAAGAACUGGCUCGCAGGUUGUACCUGAUAGACCUACUUAAAUCUUUUGCUUUAUUCUUUCUGUUGCAUAGAAGUAUAAGUUUAUUACUCUGUUUUAUUGCAAGUUAUUUCACAUGGGAUCUGUGUGCCUGAUAUGAUUGUUGCUUUAAUACCAUAAACCCACUACACUUUCUAUGAGAGUGGGAUAGUGUAAAUGUCUUGCAUAGUUUGCAUGAUGAGCUCAGUAUUUUUAUAACUGAGACAAAAAGUCA